rnacentral:pre_miRNA from 1 species
GAGAGGCAUCGGGAGUCCAGCUCGGUGUGUGGUUUCAAGCUGGGGGGUGUUUUUAUGACCGAGCUGAGAAAGCACCCCAAAGCUUGAUACUCACACACUGAGACACAGCAUCCAAAGUCCUG